CCUACGGGUGGCUGCAGUCGAGGAUCUUCGGCAAUGGGCGCAAGCCUGACCGAGCGACGCCGCGUGGGCGAUGAAGGCCUUCGGGUUGUAAAGCCCUGUCGAGGGGGAGAAAAGGGCAACCUUGAUCUAUCCCUGGAGGAAGCACGGGCUAAGUUCGUGCCAGCAGCCGCGGUAAGACGAACCGUGCGAACGUUGUUCGGAAUCACUGGGCUUAAAGGGCGCGUAGGCGGGUGGCCAAGUUCGGGGUGAAAUCCUCCGGCUCAACCGGAGAACGG
rnacentral:rRNA from 1 species